CAGAAACUCAAAGGAAGUUGACGGGGCCCGCACAAGCGGUGGAGUAUGUGGUUAAUUCGAUGCAACGCGAAGAACCUACCUGGUCUUGACAUCCCGGAGACCCUUAGGAAACUAGGGGGUGCUUCCAUCUGGAAGAAUCUGGAGACAGGUGCUGCAUGGCUGUCGUCAGCUCGUGUCGUGAGAUGUUGGGUUAAGUCCCGCAACGAGCGCAACCCUUGCCUUUAGUUGCCAGCAGUUCGGCUGGGCACUCUAAAGGGACUGCCGGUGUUAAACCGGAGGAAGGUGGGGAUGACGUCAAGUCCUCAUGGCCUUUAUGACCAGGGCUACACACGUACUACAAUGGCCGAUACAAAGGGCAGCGACACUGCGAGGUGAAGCCAAUCCCGUAAAAUCGGUCUCAGUCCGGAUUGGAGUCUGCAACUCGACUCCAUGAAGUUGGAAUCGCUAGUAAUCGUGGAUCAGCAUGCCACGGUGAAUACGUUCCCGGGCCUU
rnacentral:rRNA from 1 species